GGACCUGACUGCUAUCGGAUUGAUACUAAGCCAUGCGAGUCAUUGUAGUAAUACAAGGCAGACGGCUCAGUAACGCGUAGUCAACCUACCCUAUGGACGGGGAUAACCUCGGGAAACUGAGAAUAAUACCCGAUAGAACAUUAUGCCUGGAAUGGUUUAUGUUUCAAAUAAUUUAUUGCCGUAGGAUGGGACUGCGGCCUAUCAGUUUGUUGGUGAAGUAAUGGCCCACCAAGACUAUUACAGGUACGGGCUCUGAGAGGAGUAGCCCGGAGAUGGGUACUGAGACACGGACCCAGGCCCUAUGGGGCGCAGCAGGCGAGAAAACUUUGCAAUGUGCGAAAGCACGACAAGGUUAAUCCGAGUGGUUUCUGCUAAAGGAACCUUUUGUCAGUCCUAGAAACACUGAUGAAUAAGGGGUGGGCAAGUUCUGGUGUCAGA
rnacentral:rRNA from 1 species